GGAAGAGAAGAAGUUGUGGAGAUGCCCAAGUCGUCAAUUUGGUUGUGAACUCUUAAUUUAAACGAUAUCACAGCCACUUUGAUGAGCUUGGUUGUCUUUAAAGUCAUCAGUUCGACGU
rnacentral:pre_miRNA from 15 species